CGUACACUCCUACGGGAGGCAGCAGUGGGGAAUAUUGGACAAUGGGCGCAAGCCUGAUCCAGCCAUGCCGCGUGAGUGAUGAAGGCCCUAGGGUUGUAAAGCUCUUUCACCGGUGAAGAUAAUGACGGUAACCGGAGAAGAAGCCCCGGCUAACUUCGUGCCAGCAGCCGCGGUAAUACGAAGGGGGCUAGCGUUGUUCGGAUUUACUGGGCGUAAAGCGCACGUAGGCGGACUAUUAAGUCAGGGGUGAAAUCCCGGGGCUCAACCCCGGAACUGCCUUUGAUACUGGUAGUCUUGAGUUCGAGAGAGGUGAGUGGAAUUCCGAGUGCAGAGGUGAAAUUCGUAGAUAUUCGGAGGAACACCAGUGGCGAAGGCGGCUCACUGGCUCGAUACUGACGCUGAGGUGCGAAAGCGUGGGGAGCAAACAGGAUUAGAAACCCUGGUAGUCCCAUGAU
rnacentral:rRNA from 1 species